UACGUAGGGGGCAAGCGUUGUCCGGAUUUAUUGGGCGUAAAGAGCUCGUAGGCGGCUUCGUAAGUCGGAUGUGAAAUCUCACGGCUUAACUGUGAGCGGCCAUUCGAUACUGUGAGGCUAGAGGUCGGUAGGGGGACAUGGAAUUCCUGGUGUAGCGGUGAAAUGCGCAGAUAUCAGGAGGAACACCGGUGGCGAAGGCGGUGUCCUGGGCCGAUCCUGACGCUGAGGAGCGAAAGCUGGGGGAGCAAACAGG
rnacentral:rRNA from 1 species